GAAAUAUUGUUGUUGCUAUGUUGUUGUAUACUCAAUUAAAAUUUUCUAAGUUAGAUAAGGUAGAGCAUUGUAUAAUCUUAGAAACAUUUACUAUACAAAAGCAAACAUUUAGGAAGAGUCAGAAAUUGUGAUCCUGGAUAUUAUUCCAUAGAUGUUCAGCAAGCUUUGGAAAGAACUAUAGAGUUUUAUGAAGGCUGCUAAUGGCUAGAGAGUUUAAUGACUAGACUGCAUUUAGUAACCUUGGUAAUGCUCAUGUUUUUAUUUGAGAAUUUGAAAUAGCUGUACAAUAUUACUAGUAAGAAAAUUUCAAGCAUAAUUUUUUUUCAGAGAAGUUGGGGUAAGUUGCAUCACGUUGUAUGCCCAUGGCUAAAUAAGUUGCAUCACGUUGUAUGCCCAUGGCUAAAUAAGUUGCAUCACGUUGUAUGCCCCCAUGGCUAAAUAAGUUGCAUCACGUUGUAUGCCCAUGGCUAAAUAAGUUGCAUCACGUUGUAUGCCCAUGGCUAAAUAAGUUGCAUCACGUUGUAUGCCCAUCGUUAAAUAUGUCAUAAACUAGUUAUUAUGUAACAUUUAAAGUUUUAAUUUAAAAUUUUUUUUUAUUUUUGCUGCAAAGUUUAAGUUUUUCAAAAAUCUGAAAAGAUUUUAUCUUUGGUUAUUUUGAAAAGAUGUUAUUAUGAAUGUAUUGUGUUAAUACAAAGUAUUUGCAAUGUGUUUGAAUCUUUAUUAAUUAAAUUAUUAGAGAUGUUAAACUUUUAAUAUUUCAUCAUUAGCAAUGUGAUCCAUUAGCAAUGUGUUAGUAUGAGGCUGCUUUAUCUGAAGGUCGACUGUGGUUGUUGAAGCAGUAUGAAUUUGAUGACACUAUUCAACUUUUAUGUGAUAUGCUUCAGUCAUCAAGUAUGUCUUUGACACAUAAUGCAUCUCUUGUCAUAGCAAG